rnacentral:rRNA from 1 species
UACAGAGGUCUCAAGCGUUGUUCGGAUUCAUUGGGCGUAAAGGGUGCGUAGGCGGCGCGGUAAGUCGGGUGUGAAAUCUUGGAGCUUAACUCCGAAACUGCAUUCGAUACUGCCGUGCUUGAGGACUGGAGAGGAGACUGGAAUUUACGGUGUAGCGGUGAAAUGCGUAGAUAUCGUAAGGAAGACCAGUGGCGAAGGCGGGUCUCUGGACAGUUCCUGACGCUGGAGGCACGAAGGCCCAGGGGGAGCAAACGGG